AUAAACAUUGUUUUAUUGGUUAAUUUUGCUGUUUAAAAUAUUGAAAUAUGGGGAAAAAAGAUAAAAAAACAUCAAAAGCAAACGUAUUUAAGGUAGCAGGAGCAAAAAGCUUAAAGAAAACUAAAGCGAAGGCAGUAAAUCUGGGAUUAAAAAAUAUUAAACAAAAAAUAGGCGAAAUAGAUAAACAAUUUCUUGAUAUUAAGAAAAAUGUGGAUUCAAAUAAAACGCAGCCCAAAAAUAAUGUAAAAGCAUUACAAAAACAAACUGUGAAGAAUGUAACUAAAGAGGAGGUUGCAAAAACUGCUGAAGAUAUUGUUAAAAUGGAUUUAUAAAGUUAGCUCUAAUAUUUAUUGUAAGAUAUAAAUUUUUAUACUGUUA